CCUACGGGAGGCUGCAGUGAGGAAUAUUGGUCAAUGGUCGGGAGACUGAACCAGCCAAGCCGCGUGCGGGAUGAAGGUACAGAGUAUCGUAAACCUCUUUUGUCAGGGAACAAAGGCGGGGACGUGUCCCCGUAUGAGUGUACCUGAAGAAAAAGCAUCGGCUAACUCCGUGCCAGCCGCCGCGGUAAUACGGAGGAUGCGAGCGUUAUCCGGAUUUAGUGGGUUUAACGGGUGCGCGGGCGGUCUGGUAAGUCAGCGGUAAAACCCCGGGGCUCAACCCCGGCCCGCCGUUGAAACUGGCAGUCUCGAGUUGGAGAGAGGUAUGCGGAAUGCGCGGUGUAGCGGUGAAAUGCGUAGAUAUCGCGCAGAACUCCGAUUGCGAAGGCAGCAUGCCGGCUCCACACUGACGCUGAGGCACGAAAGCGUGGGUAUCGAACAGGAUUAGAUACCCGGGUAGUC
rnacentral:rRNA from 1 species